rnacentral:rRNA from 1 species
UACGGAGGAUCCGAGCGUUAUCCGGAUUUAUUGGGUUUAAAGGGUGCGCAGGCGGAAGAUUAAGUCGGUGGUGAAAUUUUGUAGCUCAACUGUAAAAGUGCCAUUGAUACUGGUUUUCUUGAGUGUGGAUGAAGUAGGCGGAAUUUGUGGUGUAGCGGUGAAAUGCAUAGAUAUCACGAGGAACUCCGAUUGCGCAGGCAGCUUACUAAACUACUACUGACGCUCAGGCACGAAGGCGUGGGGAUCAAACAGGAUUAGAUACCCCCGUAGU